CUAGAGACCCUAUCGACGGGGGGGUUUGGCACCUCGAUGUUGGAUUAUCGCAUCCUGGAGCUGUAAGUGGUUCCAAGGGUUUGGCUGUUCGCCAAUGAAGGCGGUACAUGAUCUGAGUUUAGAACGUUGCGAAACAGUUUGGUCCCUAUCUACCGCGAGUGUAAAAAAUUGAGAGGAGUAAACCUUAGUACGAGAGGACCGGGAAAAGUAAAUCCAUGGUGAAUCGAUUGUUAUACCAAUAGCAUAGUCGAGUAGCUACAUUUAUAAUAAAUAAUUACUGAAAGCAUCUAAGUAAGAAA
rnacentral:rRNA from 1 species